rnacentral:rRNA from 2 species
GGAGAUUCAUCGUCAAAAUAUUUGGUAUUAAUGCUAUUCAUGAUAUGGCAAAUAAUCCUUGUGGUUACUGUGUUGUACAUUUUAGUAUUAUUUUUGCCUUAUAUGUCGGCGUGCACUUCUCCUCUAGUAGAACGUCGCGACCCGUUAAAUGUUAAUCUAUGGCCCAAUUGAUAGUCUCAAAUUCUGCUUGCAUUAUUUGAAAUCAUUGGUGUUACUUGAUUAACUGUUUGACGGUACUCGAAUGGUAAUAAGUCGCUAUAUAUUAGCGUUGAGUUUAUCACAAGUGCGAUUAAUUUUCGAUAGUGCGGAUUUAAUGCCGUCGUUGAGAUUAAUCAACUGUUAGUUGAUAAUAUUCUUUAACUGACUUUAAUACCGGUCAGCGACGCUACUGCUUUGGGUACUUUCAGGACCCGUCUUGAAACACGGACCAAGGAGUCUAACAUGUACGCAAGUCAUUGGGAUUUUUAAAACAAACCUAAAGACGUAAUGAAAGUAAAGAGAGUCGUAUGACCCUCGAGGGAAGAUUCGUUAUAUGAAAAUAUAAUGACGCAUUCCCGGGGCA